rnacentral:rRNA from 1 species
GGUUAAGCGAAUAAGCGUACACGGUGGAUGCCUAGGCAAUCAGAGGCGAUGAAGGACGUGCUAAUCUGCGAAAAGCGUCGGUAAGGUGAUAUGAACCGUUAUACCCGACGAUAUCCGAAUGGGGAAACCCAGUAUCCAAUGGAUACUAUCAUUAACUGAAUCCAUAGGUUAAUGAGGCGAACCGGGAGAACUGAAACAUCUCAGUACCCCGAGGAAAAGAAAUCAACCGAGAUUCCCCUAGUAGCGGCGAGCGAACGGGGAGCAGCCCAGAGUCUUAAUCAAUAGCAGUGUCAGGAGAACGGUCUGGAAAGUCCGGCAGUAAAGGGUGAUAGCCCCGUAUCUGAAGAUGCUGUUAUUGUGAACUCGACGAGUAGGGCGGGACACGUGUUAUCCUGUCUGAAUAUGGGGGGACCAUCCUCCAAGGCUAAAUACUCCUGAUUGACCGAUAGUGAACCAGUACCGUGAGGGAAAGGCGAAAAGAACCCCGGCGAGGGGAGUGAAAAAGAACCUGAAACCGUGUACGUACAAGCAGUAGGAGCCUCUUUAUGGGGUGACUGCGUACCUUUUGUAUAAUGGGUCAGCGACUUAUAUUCUGUAGCAAGGUUAACCGUAUAGGGGAGCCGUAGGGAAACCGAGUCUUAACUGGGCGAAUGAGUUGCAGGGUAUAGACCCGAAACCCGGUGAUCUAUCCAUGGGCAGGUUGAAGGUUGGGUAACACUAACUGGAGGACCGAACCGACUAAUGUUGAAAAAUUAGCGGAUGACUUGUGGAUGGGGGUGAAAGGCCAAUCAAACCGGGAGAUAGCUGGUUCUCCCCGAAAGCUAUUUAGGUAGCGCCUCGUGAAUUCAUCUUCGGGGGUAGAGCACUGUUUCGACUAGGGGGUCAUCCCGACUUACCAACUCGAUGCAAACUGCGAAUACCGAAGAAUGUUAUCACGGGAGACACACGGCGGGUGCUAACGUCCGUCGUGAAGAGGGAAACAACCCAGACCGCCAGCUAAGGUCCCAAAGUCAUGGUUAAGUGGGAAACGAAGUGGGAAGGCUCAGACAGCCAGGAUGUUGGCUUAGAAGCAGCCAUCAUUUAAAGAAAGCGUAAUAGCUCACUGGUCGAGUCGGCCCGCGCGGAAGAUGUAACGGGGCUAAACCAUGCACCGAAGCUGCGGCAGCGACACAAAGUGUUGUUGGGUAGGGGAGCGUUCUGUAAGCCUGCGAAGGUGUACUGUGAGGUAUGCUGGAGGUAUCAGAAGUGCGAAUGCUGACAUAAGUAACGAUAAUGCGGGUGAAAAACCCGCACGCCGGAAGACCAAGGGUUCCUGUCCAACGUUAAUCGGGGCAGGGUGAGUCGACCCCUAAGGCGAGGCUGAAAAGCGUAGUCGAUGGGAAACGGGUUAAUAUUCCCGUACUGGUGGUAACUGCGAUGGGGGAACGGAGAAGGCUAGGUUGUCCGGGCGACGGUCGUCCCGGUUCAAGCAGGUAGGCAGAGUGAUUAGGCAAAUCCGGUCACUUAAUGCUGAGAUGUGAUGACGAACCACCAAGGUGGUGAAGCAAUUGAUGCCCCGCUUCCAGGAAAAGCCUCUAAGCUUCAGGUUACCAACAAUCGUACCCCAAACCGACACAGGUGGUCAGGUAGAGAAUACUCAGGCGCUUGAGAGAACUCGGGUGAAGGAACUAGGCAAAAUGGUGCCGUAACUUCGGGAGAAGGCACGCUGGCGGUAGGUAAAGUCCCUUGCGGACGGCGCUGAAGCCAGUCGAAGAUACCAGCUGGCUGCAACUGUUUAUUAAAAACACAGCACUGUGCAAACACGAAAGUGGACGUAUACGGUGUGACGCCUGCCCGGUGCUGGAAGGUUAAUUGAUGGGGUUAGCGUAAGCGAAGCUCCUGAUCGAAGCCCCAGUAAACGGCGGCCGUAACUAUAACGGUCCUAAGGUAGCGAAAUUCCUUGUCGGGUAAGUUCCGACCUGCACGAAUGGCGUAAUGAUGGCCAGGCUGUCUCCACCCGAGACUCAGUGAAAUUGAACUCGCUGUGAAGAUGCAGUGUACCCGCGGCAAGACGGAAAGACCCCGUGAACCUUUACUAUAGCUUGACACUGAACAUUGAGCCUUGAUGUGUAGGAUAGGUGGGAGGCUUUGAAGUGUGGACGCCAGUCUGCAUGGAGCCAACCUUGAAAUACCACCCUUUAACGUUUGAUGUUCUAACCUAGGCCCAUAAACUGGGUCGGGGACCGUGUCUGGUGGGUAGUUUGACUGGGGCGGUCUCCUCCUAAAGAGUAACGGAGGAGCACGAAGGUUGGCUAAGCAUGGUCGGACAUCAUGCGGUUAGUGCAAAGGCAUAAGCCAGCUUGACUGCGAGAGUGACGGCUCGAGCAGGUACGAAAGUAGGUCUUAGUGAUCCGGUGGUUCUGAAUGGAAGGGCCAUCGCUCAACGGAUAAAAGGUACUCCGGGGAUAACAGGCUGAUACCGCCCAAGAGUUCAUAUCGACGGCGGUGUUUGGCACCUCGAUGUCGGCUCAUCACAUCCUGGGGCUGAAGUAGGUCCCAAGGGUAUGGCUGUUCGCCAUUUAAAGUGGUACGCGAGCUGGGUUUAGAACGUCGUGAGACAGUUCGGUCCCUAUCUGCCGUGGGCGUUGGAAGAUUGAGAGGGGUUGCUCCUAGUACGAGAGGACCGGAGUGAACGCACCACUGGUGUUCGGGUUGUCAUGCCAAUGGCAUUGCCCGGUAGCUAAGUGCGGAAGAGAUAACCGCUGAAAGCAUCUAAGCGGGAAACUUGCCUCGAGAUGAGUCUUCCCUGUCGCUUUAAGUGACCUAAAGGAACGUUUAAGACUAAGACGUUGAUAGGCUGGGUGUGUAAGCGUAGCGAUACGUUGAGCUAACCAGUACUAAUGAACCGUGAGGCUUAACCUG